rnacentral:rRNA from 1 species
AACGAACGCUGGCGGCAGGCUUAACACAUGCAAGUCGAACGCCCCGCAAGGGGAGUGGCAGACGGGUGAGUAACGCGUGGGAAUCUACCCAGUUCUACGGAACAACAGUUGGAAACGACUGCUAAUACCGUAUACGCCCUAAGGGGGAAAGAUUUAUCGGAAUUGGAUGAGCCCGCGUUGGAUUAGCUAGUUGGUGAGGUAAUGGCUCACCAAGGCGACGAUCCAUAGCUGGUCUGAGAGGAUGAUCAGCCACACUGGGACUGAGACACGGCCCAGACUGCUACGGGAGGCAGCAGUGGGGAAUAUUGGACAAUGGGCGCAAGCCUGAUCCAGCCAUGCCGCGUGAGUGAUGAAGACCUUAGGGUUGUAAAGCUCUUUCAGUAGGGAAGAUAAUGACGGUACCUACAGAAGAAGCCCCGGCUAACUUCGUGCCAGCAGCCGCGGUAAUAC